CCCCACCCGCUUCCUGCCCCGGCCGCGAGGCAGCCCUGGAUCGCACCCGGUUCCUUCCUUCCUUCGUUCUUUCAGGCAACUCGCAUUCCUCGAGCGCCUGCGUCGUGCCCUGCACUGGGCCUUCCCGACCUUCCAACUGUGGCCCCAGGCCCGCUGGGCUCCUCCGGGAAGCCUCUGCCUUCUCGGCUCUCCUUCCCUACCUACUCGCUCUGUUCAGUGAGGUGCUUCGCUGAGAGUCGAGCAUUUAAGUGUUCUCUGAUUAGUUCUCCUGUUAGAGCUGCUGGAAGGACAGAGCUUCAGAUGCUGUGAGCCUGCCCCAGCUCAGCCUAACCCAGAACCAGCUCACUCAUGAAGCUACCCUCCCUUGAAAAGAAUAGGAGUUUCGAGGAGGGAGAACAUGACCCACAGGCCAAAGCACUUGGAGACCAGAGUUGGUGUAAUUUCAGGUAAGAGUAGCAGCUUUGUGAUCAGCCAGACCUCCAUUCAAAUCCUUCUCUGCCACCUCUUAGCUGUGUGACCAGCUACAUGACACCACCUGCCCGAGCCUCAGGUUUUCAUCUGUAAACUCCCAAUGGUCCCUCUCCAAUAGGGCUAUUAUAGGAAUUAAAUAAGACAACAGAGGUAGAGUAACUGCUCCCCACAGGCAACCCUUACAAUUUCACAAAGAGGAAGCCAAAAGGGAGCCAGCUACUUUUUUUGUUUUUUGAGACAGAGUCUCACUCUGCCACUGGGCUACAGUAUAGUGGCGUGAUCUUGGCUCACUGCAACCUCCACCUCCUGGGUUCAAGCAAUUCUCCUGCCUCAGUCUCCUGAGUAGCUGGAAUUAUAGGUGCCCAUCACCAUGCCCAGCUAAUUUUUUUGAAUUUUUAGUAGAGAUGAGGUUUCACCAUGUUGGCCAGGAUGGCCUUGAUCUCUUGACUUCGUGAUCUGCCUACCUCAGUCUCCCAAAGUGCUGGGAUUUACAGGCAUAAGCCACCUCACCUGGCAUUUUUUUUUUUUUUUUUAGACAGAGUCUUGGUCUGUCGCCCAGGCUGGAGUGCAGUGGUGUGAUCUUGGCUCACUUCAAACUCUGCCUCCUGGGUUCAAGUGAUUCUUGUGUCUCAGCCUCCUAAAUAGCUGGGAAUACAGGCAGAUGCCACCACACCCAGCUAAUUUUUCUAUUUUUAGUAGAGACUGAGUUUCACCAUGUUAGCCAGGCUG
rnacentral:lncRNA from 13 species